rnacentral:rRNA from 1 species
GAUGAACGCUAGCGACAGGCUUAACACAUGCAAGUCGAGGGGCAGCGGGGGUAGCGAUACCCGCCGGCGACCGGCGCACGGGUGAGUAACGCGUAUGCAACUUGCCUAUCAGAGGGGGAUAACCCGGCGAAAGUCGGACUAAUACCGCAUGAAGCAGGGGCCCCGCAUGGGGAUAUUUGCUAAAGAUUCAUCGCUGAUAGAUAGGCAUGCGUUCCAUUAGGCAGUUGGCGGGGUAACGGCCCACCAAGCCGACGAUGGAUAGGGGUUCUGAGAGGAAGGUCCCCCACAUUGGUACUGAGACACGGACCAAACUCCUACGGGAGGCAGCAGUGAGGAAUAUUGGUCAAUGGCCGAGAGGCUGAACCAGCCAAGUCGCGUGAGGGAUGAAGGUUCUAUGGAUCGUAAACCUCUUUUAUAAGGGAAUAAAGUGCGGGACGUGUCCCGUUUUGUAUGUACCUUAUGAAUAAGGAUCGGCUAACUCCGUGCCAGCAGCCGCGGUAAUACGGAGGAUCCGAGCGUUAUCCGGAUUUAUUGGGUUUAAAGGGUGCGUAGGCGGCCUUUUAAGUCAGCGGUGAAAGUCUGUGGCUCAACCAUAGAAUUGCCGUUGAAACUGGGGGGCUUGAGUAUGUUUGAGGCAGGCGGAAUGCGUGGUGUAGCGGUGAAAUGCAUAGAUAUCACGCAGAACCCCGAUUGCGAAGGCAGCCUGCCAAGCCAUUACUGACGCUGAUGCACGAAAGCGUGGGGAUCAAACAGGAUUAGAUACCCUGGUAGUCCACGCAGUAAACGAUGAUCACUAGCUGUUUGCGAUACACUGUAAGCGGCACAGCGAAAGCGUUAAGUGAUCCACCUGGGGAGUACGCCGGCAACGGUGAAACUCAAAGGAAUUGACGGGGGCCCGCACAAGCGGAGGAACAUGUGGUUUAAUUCGAUGAUACGCGAGGAACCUUACCCGGGUUUGAACGCAUUCGGACCGAGGUGGAAACACCUUUUCUAGCAAUAGCCGUUUGCGAGGUGCUGCAUGGUUGUCGUCAGCUCGUGCCGUGAGGUGUCGGCUUAAGUGCCAUAACGAGCGCAACCCUUGCCACUAGUUACUAACAGGUAAAGCUGAGGACUCUGGUGGGACUGCCAGCGUAAGCUGCGAGGAAGGCGGGGAUGACGUCAAAUCAGCACGGCCCUUACAUCCGGGGCGACACACGUGUUACAAUGGCGUGGACAAAGGGAAGCCACCUGGCGACAGGGAGCGAAUCCCCAAACCACGUCUCAGUUCGGAUCGGAGUCUGCAACCCGACUCCGUGAAGCUGGAUUCGCUAGUAAUCGCGCAUCAGCCAUGGCGCGGUGAAUACGUUCCCGGGCCUUGUACACACCGCCCGUCAAGCCAUGGGAGCCGGGGGUACCUGAAGUCCGUAACCGCGAGGAUCGGCCUAGGGUAAAAC